AAAACAACAACAAAAAAACCAAGGCAGCCAUUCACCAAUGUUCUCAGUGCAUUAAAAAUUUAGCAAUAGAAUUCACAGGACAAUCAAAAAUACCUCAGUGGAUUUGAAGAGCUAGGAAGGCCACAGUUUGAACUGAAAACUGAAAUCUGCUUACUGUUCUUACUCUCUCAUCUCCAAAAGCAACCUACAAACAUGCUUCCCAGAACUUAAAAGGGGCUAAAAGGUAAAGGCAGAGACUCCAUCUUGCUUGGGCUGGAGAAGAUCAGGCACCUAUGUCCAGACAGUUGUGCUUUGUGGUCAUUCGUCCUCAGCCCACUCUGUGACAGGGAUUCUCAGAACCCUGACCUUGUCUUUAGAUUUAAAACUUCACACCUGCAUUUUUUAUAGAUUUAAUAAAAUUUGAUACCUUUGUUAUGCAAAAAG